UUCGUUUGCCUGUGGUUAACUAUGGUUGGAAGCAGAUGAUGGUCCUUCUGACUAAUAGCCUAACACUGGGUCACAGUGCCUGCAUCAUUCACCUUGCUUCAUCUCACUGCAGAGACCUUUUACCAUCUCCUAUCUCCACCAGAAGGCUGUGGAAUCCAAGAAGAUAUUAAGUGUCUCGCCAUGAUCUCAUAGCAUACAGAGAUCACAAGUAGGCAGAGAGGCAGGCAGAG